AUUGAAAACGACAAAGGAAAAUUUAAAAAAGCAAUCUUUUUGAAUACCAAGAUCAUUAUUUAAGGAGAUGUUCACAUUUUCACCAUAUUUUACCUGUACAUGGUGUUAUGUAACUUUUCUUUUGAUUUGGUUUCAAUUUUUAUCAGCGUUGUUGCAAUUCAUAUUAAUUUGUAGUUCUCUGAUGUGAGAGAUUGAAAUGUUUGUAUAGAGUAAUGGUCCAUAUUCACUGGUUUGUGCCACUAAAAAUUUGUUUGUUUCUUUUGGACCUCACCCUUUCUGCUCAUUUUACUGAUUAACUCUUGUGUUCCUCUCAG
rnacentral:misc_RNA from 1 species